rnacentral:lncRNA from 1 species
AUUUAUUGUUAUUUUUUGUAUAUAUUUUUUUCCAUUUUAGGAUAAUAUUUUGAUUUAACUGUAAACUCAAACGUACAACAUGAAGGCAACAAUCUUGUUAGCAGUUCUAGUGGCAGUCUUUGUCGCAGGUAAAUAUGAUAUUCAAUAGGCACUGCCAAUGACUAUUGAGAUUUUCCAUGAGGGAAUGAACUUUUAACUUAAAAAAAGGGGAGGGUAGUUAUGUUUUUUCUUUAAAAAAAUGUUCCGAUACCAAAUUUGAUGAAAAAAACCCAUAAAAAACAUAAAGCAAAAAAAAAAAAAAUCUGAAUGCAGAUUUCCCCAAUACCUUAUAGCAUAAAAUUUUGAAAAAAUCAUUUGAUUGAGAGCGUCGAAAUUAAAAAAAAAAUGUUCGCACCUUGCGAGAAAAUAUUUGUGAUAAAAUAACCUCAACCUCCUUCCAAACCCCACCCUUGAAGAUGAUUUGUUGAUCCCUUAAAAUGUAUCAAAAAUAGAAUAAUGUGUUUGUAAAAUUGUUUCUUUAUUUUAUUUUUUUUAAAUAACACGUGGUUUGCUUGAUGUAAGUACUUAAUUGCCAAAAAUGUAUCAUGUUAUUGCCACAUUACGAUUACUUUUGCAGUAAAAAUAUAGAUAUUUAAACAUAAGAAUCAAAUAAUGUUGCAUUUCACUCAAUGAAGUGAAAAACCUUUGUAUUAAUUUGAAAGUUUGCAAGUAUUUUGACAUUUCAACCGACUGAUUUGUUGAAAAAUUGCAAACCACACAAUGUUUUUUUGUUACUUUUAUUUAAUUUACUCUAUCUAAAUCAGUUAUUUUUUUUAAUGUAUCAUGUUUUUAAUAAAGUUUACGGAAACGCCUAUAUUUGCUGUAAAAAAUACCAUGAUUUAAUGUAAUCUUCAAAGAAAUGAAUUACAAAUUAAUCGGUCUUAACUUUGUUUUUUAUACCUUGAAGGUACGGAAGCUCAUUCGCACGCUUGUACAUCAUACUGGUGUGGUAAGUUUUGUGGAACUGCUAGUUGCACACAUUAUUUAUGCAGAGUACUCCAUCCCGGUAAACUGUGUGUGUAUGUGUUCAUUGCAGCAGGGUGAACAAUCCUUUCAGAGUUAAUCAAGUUGCUAAAAGUAUUAACGAUUUGGAUUACACUCCAAUGUAAGUACAUUAUUCCCGAUUAUUUUGCAUUAUAUUAACUUUUAUAAAUUUACGAAAUGAAAUUAAUCAAUAGACCAAGUAUGUAAGUAUGAUAAUCAUACAUUUAAAGAAUGACUGUAAUAUUUUUUUCUGUCUAUGAAGAAAUAACAUAAAAAAAUUCGUGCAUACUGAAUAACGCGCGUAGCGGGUUUAUUCAACAGUGUGCACCACAUUUUUUUAUGUUAUUUCGAAUAGACAGAAAAAAAUAUUACAGUCAUUUCUUAUAAUUUAAUUCUAAAAUCCAUUUUAAACCAUAGAAAGCCAUGAAAAAACGUUGAUGACGUCACGGUCACAUGACUAAAUUAUGUCUAUGGGCUGAUAACAAAAUAACGUUAGCAAAUCAGAAGACGCGUUACAUCCAAAAUUAAAUUAUUGUUAUAUGCACAUCAUGCAUACCAAUAAUUAAACAUAAAAUAUUAAUUUCUAUUUUACCAUGUGAAAGUGUACGAUUGGUUAAUUUGGUUAUGCCAUUAUAUACAUGUUCAGGAUAAUAUGGGAAAUAAGACCAUACACGUAUAAUCAAGGCCAUAUGAAUAUAUACUCUUAUAAUAGUAAAUUAAAUACACAGUUCUAAUUUUAAAAUGGCAAAAACAGUUCGACCGUUUGAACUCCGUAGGUGUGUGUAGUUUGUGUGAUCCUCUUUGUUAUAAGAGAGAAUGAGGAUACAUUGUGUGUCAUCUUGACUACUUCAUUCAUCUUAAAUGACAACAUUUUACUUAUCAAUCAACUAUUGGUUUUUUGUACGAGCAUAUUUAGAGAUAAGAGUUAUAGUUUUUGAAAUGAUGUAAUUAAAUUGCAAAUAUAUUUUAAUGUUAACUUUAUGAGAAAAAACCCUUUAAUCUUUCAGAAUGAAGUCGAUGGAAAACUUGGACAAUGGAAUGGAUAUGUUAUAAGCAAACAACUUAUGCAAUGCAGAUCACAACUGUGAACCUUUGCUAUCAUUCUCACUGCUUUUCACCUUUCUACAAACAAAAAGUUUACAGCAACUUGAAAAAUAACAAACUUGAGUCAUGUCUGUUCAGUUUCCAGUCUAAUAUUUAUAUCAUUAUAUGAAAGGUAUAACAAAAUUAGUACCAUUGUGUGCUAAUAGAAAACAAUUGAUAAACAAGAAACAUUACACUUUAAGUAUAAAUUAACAGGAUUUUGUCCUGCAGCUGUUUUAUCUUUCUUUUCUCAGCUAUAGUCUUCUGAUUGUAAUAAAAUAGCUUGAAAAACAAACUAGCGUUGAGAAUUUUUUUUAAAUAACAGGGAAAUAAACCAAACCUUUAAGAUGUACUGCAUUCAAACAAGCUGCUGAUCUUCUUAUAUUUGAAUAGACUAAAGGAACAAUGAAAUAGGAUCAGAAAAAAUGAGAUUAAUGACGACGAAAAAACACUUCUCCAAGCGAAAAAAGUUCACUUGAUGAUAUGACUGUUGAACUAUGGGAUACAUGCAUACGCCAGUACAAGACACUUAUGGAAAGUCAAGGUCGUUAAACACCCCUAUUGUUGUAUGUUAAAAGUUCAACGUUCACAAUUAUCAAAGCCGUAGCAUAUUGACAAAAAGCA